rnacentral:rRNA from 1 species
UUUUCCGGUUGAUCCUGCCGGACCCGACUGCUAUUUGGGUGAGGAUAAGCCAUGCGAGUUGAAUGGGAUACCUAAAAUUCCCAUAGCAAACUGCUCAGUAACACAUGAUCAACUUACCCUAUGGAGAAAAAUAAUCUCGGGAAACUGAGGAUAAUGUUUCAUAGUUGAAUAGGCUUGGAAAAGUUUUUCAAUGAAAGGGCUAAGAUAAAUGGAUCUUAGUUGCCAUAGGAUAGGAUCGUGCUCGAUUAUGGUUGUUGGUGAGGUAACGGCUCACCAAGCCGAUAAUCGAUAGGGGCCGUGAGAGCGGGAGCCCCGAGAUGGGUACUGAGACAGCGACCCAGACCUUACGAGGUGCAGCAGGCGCGAAACCUCCGCAAUACACGAAAGUGUGACGGGGUUACCCAAAGUGUCCAUUAUUGGACUGUGGUAGGUGAGUAAUGUCCCCUACUAGAAAGGAGAGGGCAAGGCUGGUGCCAGCCGCCGCGGUAAAACCAGCUCUUCAAGUGGUCGGGAUGAUUAUUGGGCUUAAAGUGUCCGUAGCCGGUUUAGUAAGUUCCUGGUAAAAUCGAGUAGCUUAACUAUUUGUAUGCUAGGAAUACUGCUAUACUAGAGGGCGGGAGAGGUCUGAGGUACUACAGGGGUAGGGGUGAAAUCUUAUAAUCCUUGUAGGACCGCCAGUGGCGAAGGCGUCAGACUGGAACGUGCCUGACGGUGAGGGACGAAAGCCAGGGGAGCGAACCGGAUUAGAUACCCGGGUAGUCCUGGCCGUAAACGAUGCAUACUAGGUGAUGGCACGGCCAUGAGCCGUGUCAGUGCCGUAGGGAAACCGUUAAGUGUGCCGCCUGGGAAGUACGGUCGCAAGGCUAAAACUUAAAGGAAUUGGCGGGGGAGCAC